AGAGUUUGAUCAUGGCUCAGAUUGAACGCUGGCGGCAGGCUUAACACAUGCAAGUCGAGCGGGGGAAGGUAGCUUGCUACUGGACCUAGCGGCGGACGGGUGAGUAAUGCUUAGGAAUCUGCCUAUUAGUGGGGGACAACAUCUCGAAAGGGAUGCUAAUACCGCAUACGUCCUACGGGAGAAAGCAGGGGAUCUUCGGACCUUGCGCUAAUAGAUGAGCCUAAGUCGGAUUAGCUAGUUGGUGGGGUAAAGGCCUACCAAGGCGACGAUCUGUAGCGGGUCUGAGAGGAUGAUCCGCCACACUGGGACUGAGACACGGCCCAGACUCCUACGGGAGGCAGCAGUGGGGAAUAUUGGACAAUGGGGGGAACCCUGAUCCAGCCAUGCCGCGUGUGUGAAGAAGGCCUUAUGGUUGUAAAGCACUUUAAGCGAGGAGGAGGCUACUUUAGUUAAUACCUAGAGAUAGUGGACGUUACUCGCAGAAUAAGCACCGGCUAACUCUGUGCCAGCAGCCGCGGUAAUACAGAGGGUGCGAGCGUUAAUCGGAUUUACUGGGCGUAAAGCGUGCGUAGGCGGCUUAUUAAGUCGGAUGUGAAAUCCCCGAGCUUAACUUGGGAAUUGCAUUCGAUACUGGUGAGCUAGAGUAUGGGAGAGGAUGGUAGAAUUCCAGGUGUAGCGGUGAAAUGCGUAGAGAUCUGGAGGAAUACCGAUGGCGAAGGCAGCCAUCUGGCCUAAUACUGACGCUGAGGUACGAAAGCAUGGGGAGCAAACAGGAUUAGAUACCCUGGUAGUCCAUGCCGUAAACGAUGUCUACUAGCCGUUGGGGCCUUUGAGGCUUUAGUGGCGCAGCUAACGCGAUAAGUAGACCGCCUGGGGAGUACGGUCGCAAGACUAAAACUCAAAUGAAUUGACGGGGGCCCGCACAAGCGGUGGAGCAUGUGGUUUAAUUCGAUGCAACGCGAAGAACCUUACCUGGCCUUGACAUACUAGAAACUUUCCAGAGAUGGAUUGGUGCCUUCGGGAAUCUAGAUACAGGUGCUGCAUGGCUGUCGUCAGCUCGUGUCGUGAGAUGUUGGGUUAAGUCCCGCAACGAGCGCAACCCUUUUCCUUACUUGCCAGCAUUUCGGAUGGGAACUUUAAGGAUACUGCCAGUGACAAACU
rnacentral:rRNA from 1 species